GGAGGGUUGGCCGAGAGGACGAAGGCGGCUGUCUUGAAAACAGCUGCGCCGGAAACGGCGCCGGGGGUUCGAAUCCCUCACCCUCCGCCU
rnacentral:tRNA from 1 species